rnacentral:snRNA from 1 species
GCAGAUCUGAGAAUCUGGUGGA